ACCGCCCCCGACCGCCGGGACCCCGCAGCCGCCCGCCCUCUCCUCGCGCGCUGCUCCGCGCCGCACCCACCGGCUCUCAGCUGCAGGCUGCCGUCCCUCCGGCUGCACCACAGCGCCCGCUCCCCGCUCUGCAGGAUGUAGUGGUCCUUGGCUUGGAACAGCUCCAUCCUCGCGCCGCCGCUGCCGCCGCCCUCCUUCACCGUCCCCGCGGAUGGGGAGCAGAGGAAGAAGCGCGCACCCGAGCCGGGCAGGCGCGCCGCCCCUCACAGAACCCGGCGGGUCGCGACGCCUACCGCUCCGGCUCGGGGCGCUUCCUCAGGCGGCCGCGAGCGCGGGUUCCGGCCCAGUGCCGCACGUGACCGUGCCCAGCAACGCCGCCCCGCGCUCUUAAAGCUGUAGCGCGACUCCCGCCCGCGGUGGGGUUUCGCGCCCUUUCGCUGCUUGUGGCGCCCCUCAGCGCGGCGGGAGCGGCGCGGGACGCGGCCCCGUGAAGGGCUGUGGGGAGGAGGUUUGCCUUCAGCGGAGCGGUCUUUUCGACGCCAACGCCGAACGGGAGUAAUCUGUGGAGCUGAGAGAACGCUGAGUGAGGGGCGCUGAGCGGGAGAGCCCGGCAGCACCGAUGGCUGUGUGGUGGUGCCUGAACCCCUCAGAGGUGGGCUGUGCAGGCGUCGGAGCCCUGCUCCCCAUAACAGCAUUGCCAAGAGCAUCCCACCAUGGGUGCAGCCGUUCAGGAGCAUCUUCAGGGUGUCUUGAAAACUAAUGGUGCGUGAGUCUACAUUAUGUCAUCAGUCUGGUAGGAUCGGGUGGAGACGUGACAGCCUUGGAAUGGUAAGUACUGACCUUUGAACACUGACAGAGGAUGAGCAAGGCUCCAUAAAGCAGGGAAUGUAUUUGGGCUUCUAAAUUACCAUGAUUUUCCAGUAUUUGAAAGAUCAAUGGAAGAUUAUAACUGUACAUAUAAUGCUGAGUCUGUACCACCUUAAGACUUAAAAAAAAAAGGCAAAGAAGACUUUGAGAAUUUUAGAUCAAAUUGCCUCAUCCCUUAAAUGAAAAAAAAAAAAAAAUAGAAGGAUCUAUAAGGAUCUAAAUAGAAGGAAUCAAAAUAUCUACUUUCAGAUACUUCCAAGAUAAUACAAUGUUAUGACACAGUUAGCAUAAUAAUGUUGAAUCAAUACCCUUCUGACAGUCUAGCAGUUCUGGGCAGAUAGAGUAAAUCUUGACCUAAUGUGACUCUUGUGCUUUUCUCAUAAUUAUCCAAGGAAAUACAGUCCAGUCAGUACACCUCCAUAGCCUCAAAUAGUUGGGAAGUUUCUCCUGUAGAGUAGUUCCUAAUGGCUGACUGUCACCCGAUACUACAGAGGACAGGCAUCCUUGGCAGAAUGAGAACUGGCCACAGGGUUGUGGUUAUAAUUAGAGACUUGUUAUUACAAAUUUAGUAAUCAACAUAGCUUAUAAUCUACAAUUUCUAGGGCCUAACAUAGCUUACAGUUGCACAGGAUUUCUAGAGUUCUCAGUUAUGUGCACUUUCCAGUUACCUAAACCCUCUGUAGAUCUGGUCAAAAUCUUAACCAGCGCAUAAUACAAUAAUCACAACCUAGACUCAGGCUUUAAGUAGAAGAUCACACAAGUCAAAGGCUCACUCAGUCCUCAGAAGAAGAAUACAAUAGAGAAAGUGUUCCUGGCCACUGAAGGAUCUCAGGUUUUGCUGUUCAGCAGUAGCACUGUUCAAAGUCCCACACAGGGUUUGCUGCUGAUUCAUUUUAUAGAGAGUGCUCUCUGUACUUUCCUGUUCUAUGAUGGGUGUCACCAUGUUCUGGCAGCUCAGCACCUGGGGCUUGAUAAUGCUUGUGGCCUUCUCAUCCUGUUAAAGGGUGUCCCUGCAUGCUGGUACCAGAGAGGAGGAGAGAGAAGGGCAGAAGGUAAUACAUGAGCAGCCUCCUUAUGGAUGUUUACCUUAUUGUUGUUUAUGCUGUCUGUUAUCAAGGGGUACUAAUACUAAACUCACAAGUUUGGUACCAUUCUGUAUCUUUAUUGAUGGCCCAAAUCAUGAAAUAGCCAGUAUGUUUAGUAAAUUAUCAGGCUAGGAGGGCUCAAAAGCCCACUUGGUAUCAGGAUUCCAUUAUGAUAUUAUUGUGCCAAGCUGAAGAAAUGAUCUCAAAUGCAUGAAAUGGCAGGCAAGAGAAAAUGUUUCUGGCUAUAAAUACAAGCUGAGGAACAGCUGGUUAAUCAAGAGUUUUGGGGUAAUCCUAGAUCACAAACUGAUGAACCAACCAGUAGGAAAAAGGAAAAAAAUCCAGUUAUGCUAAGAUGAAUACUCAGGAGCAUUACACAUAAGGCCCAUGCAGUAAUCCUUUUGCUCCACUGCUAGUAAGGCCUCAGUGAGAAUACUAUAUUGUUUGAUGCUACCAUUUCAAUAAUUAUAUGAGUUCACUGAAAAUAGGCCAAAGGAAAGUCUGAAUUUUAGAAGAUGUGAUUCAUGAUUUGAAGAAUUGCAAUUCUUUGGAGAUGUAUGGGAAAGAGGAACAGUGUUGAAAUAUACAAAUAAUGCUGGAAGGAUAAUAAGAAUAGCUGUUUUCUUUGUCCUCUGUCACUGAAUCAUAUAAAGUCUGAGGCUGAAAGGCCCUGGUGCUCCAACCCUCUGCUCAGAGCAGGGUCAGCUAUAGCAGGCUGCCCAGGGGCGUCUCCAGUGGAGUUUUGAGUAUCUCCAAAAAUGGGGACUCCACAACCUGCCUUGGCAAGCUGGGCCAGUCUUUGUCCACUCUCACAGUGAAAACGUUUUUUCUUAUCUGUAUGUAGAAUUUCUUGUAUUUCAGUUUAUGCCCUCUUGUACUGUCACUGGGUACCACUGAAAAGAGUCUGGCUCAGUCUUCUUUUCUUCCUCCCACCAGUAACGUAAACACAUUGAUAAGGUCAUCCUUGAGCCUUUUUUUUUUUUUUUUUUUUUUUUGUUUAUGUGGGGUUCUUUAAUUUGAGGCUAAACAAUCCCAUCUUUUAUCCCAGAUAAGAAAUAAUGAGUAGAAUUGUCGGAAAAAUGAGUUAGAUUAGACAGAAAGUCAGAAUCUGGAUAGAUAAGUAUGGGAAUGGACUGCUCACCGAAAUGAGCUGUGCUUGCAAACACCACUACUGGUUUUUAAGAACAGCUAAAAUGGGUUGAAAUACGAGAUUUGUGAACCGAACUGGUGCAUUAUGCAUGCAGCUGUUCUGCUGGCUGAUUUGAUUUGCCUCGAGCCUCCGUGUUAAUUAUAACGACAAAGAUAAAACUCGCCAGCAAUCUUAAAAACAGAUGCUAUUACUCUACCUUUAAUCAAACACAGCGUCCUCAGGCUAAUGCCAUUUAACAACACCAACUGUGGCCACAGGUUCGAUGCUUAGUUGGAGCAGCCAUUUAUCCUUUGGUUUUGUUCAAUCUGUUUGGAUUCAACUUAGGGAAGAUAAAAUGGAAAGCAGUCAUUCCUCUUGUAAAAGGCUUCCAAAAGGACUGGGCUGAAAAUAAUGUUUGCGUGCCAUAAGAAGGACUAACGGGAACAUUACUUGCUCUGGAGUGGACAUGCAGACCCCAGUGCUGUACUGAUUUCAGGAGGGGAUUUUUUCAUCAUGUAAAAAUGCGAAGUUAGAAUAAGAACCACUAUUUCUUAGGGCUACAGUGAACGUGAAUGAAAGCACAGAAGUUCAGGUCUCUCAUUCCUUUCAUAGAAGUUUUUCUGCCGCAGCACGCAUCGGUGGUGCCAGCUCAGCGCUGAGCGCAGCCCUCACCGCGCAGUGCUCUCUGUACUCUGGGAGAGUCCCUUUCAACCAAACCGGAUUGUAUUCCGCUCCGUUCCUCUCCGUUCCGUUCCGGGCUCUCCCGCGGCUCCCAGUCGCUCCCUGCCGGCCGCCGGCGGCCGCUCGCUUCCCGGAGCGGCGUCAAGCCGUGGUAGCGUCAUGCGUAGAGCUACGGCGGUAGUCGGCUGGAACGAACAAAGUCCGUGUUUUCCAAGUGCAAUAAUGCAGCUGGUUCAGCUGGUCCUGAGGAAGAUAAUUCUGUGACGCUGUAAAAUCGCGUUAAGUAGUAGUACAGCAAUAGCGCAUUUUCUUGAUGUACCUCUUGGCUGUACAGUGAGGGUUAAAUGAUCAUUCCUUGACAUCACGAGUUUCUUCCACUGACUGGAUUCUGCUGGGAAUAAGGUUGGUGGGAAACUUAUUUCUUGAUUCAAGCCUAAGUAGCUUCAGCUUUUAAACAUGGAAGUUUCCUAGAGCCUGGAUUUGCCAUGAGUGUCUGCUGCACAUAGCCCACUCCUGUCAUGUGCUGAAGUGCUCAGAUGAACUAACAGAAGUUGGGCCUUUCUUCCUCUGUCAUUUACACAAAUACACUCACUUCUGCACAACUCCUUGCAACUUUGGCUGUGCAAUCCUUGAGGCAGAAAGUACAAUAAGGAAGAUCCUCAGCACAAAAAACUCCUUGGCUUUCCUGCCCCCGAGGGAGAGGAACAUUGCAGGAAAGAUUGCAUCAGGAGUGGACAACUAGUGAAUGAACUCUUCUUGGAUCCCAUCUGGAAAUGGUUAUCAGUGUUAUAUGGAGCUUGAAGCAUGUCAUGUGCAAGUAGGGUUCUAAAAGCCUCAUUUGGAACCCAAAUCUGAAAGCGUCCCGUUUUGUGGUGUUUUUGUUUUUAAUGCUGAAUGUUUCUAAGUUGUUUGUUUUAACUGAACUGCAGGAACCCAAGGCUUCCAAUUGCAUGCAAACCUGCCCUAACCUGACACCUUUUAUGAGCUUAAAAAAAAUACCGGAGGAACGUAGGCUUCUACUAGAGCCUGCCACCAAAGCGUGGAAGCAUCCUGCCAACGUGUUUACUCACUGCUGUAAUGAACACGUGCAAGAUUAGAAAGUUUGUUUAGGCAUUACUGGAAACCUUUUUCCAUCACAGUCCUUUCAGCUGUUUCACAAGCACUGAGCAGGAAAUUCGGCCUUUGGGCUCAUGCAUAAGGUACGUGUAGUGGUGAGGGCAGACUUAGCAGUGCCAAGCUGUAACCCAGGGAGCUGCCUAGGGAGUGCACUGUGGGUCACCACCAGACUAAGGUACAGGAACUUGCAAUGACAUGAACAACAGAGGGAAGUAAGAGUCACAGCCUAAAUUGGCUCUUUUGUCAGUGUCAUGUAAUGUGCUUGGGAUGGUUUGUCUGCGUAUGGCACAACUGCAAUAUAAUUGCAAACAUCAAGAAAUGAGUAUGUAGACUUAGGUGGGUUGGGAUGGCUGUAACGUAAAUCUGAGGCAGGGGAGGAGCUACAGCCCAGCGAUGCAGAGAGCCAAUUUCUCUGCUCUAUAAAACACAUCCUGCGAUUUCCUGCUCAUGUAUUGCUUCUUAGUGUAGUCAAGCACAAACUAUUUAAGGCAGCGAUUCACUGUGCAUGCAAUUGUAUGCUAUGUAAUAAUAAUUAUGUGUCUAAUUGCUAUUGCAAAAAAUAAAAAAGUAUGAUAAUAAUAAUAAUAAUAAAAGCUAUGAUUCCUGCCUUCCAAAGUAGUGCGUAUUUUCUUUGAAGUAAUCAGGGACUUGUUGCUAGGCAGUUAAUAUUUAAGGUACCUUAAAUAUUUUAAUGCGUCUAUGCCUGCUGUUUCUAGGCACCAAUAUUUGUUUAUGUUAUCGUUAUACAACCCUUUCUACCUUAUAUCCUUUGUUCAGUCUAAGCUAAUGGAUCCAUACAGCGAAAUUCCCAACACACUUUUUUUUUCAUAGAUAGCGGAUUUACUUAACUGCUGUUGGAAUGUUACAAUCCCUCUGGUGCAGAUUUGCUCUUUGUCAGGACGUUUUGCACUAAUACCAUUUACUCUUUCUUUGCACAGUCCUCCUCCCAGGUGUGUUCUGCCUUUCUGAUGGCUUGGUGUGUAGGCAUGUAGUGAUUUUAAUAAAGGUUUGAAUUUAAUGUUUGAGAAUCAAGAUUCAAGAUCACCUUUAACUGUAGAUGUAAACUAGGAGUUGAAAUACUGACUUUUUUUGACCAAGCUCUAAAUUUUUAAGAGAAGCCUUCACACGUAAUCUCUGAUAAGACAGUGGGCCAAGAGAAACAAAAAGAUUUCAUGGUAGCUGGAAGGCGAUCGAAGAGGGUGGGGGGAGGUGUAAGAUCUCUCAGAAAGUAAAGCUUUGAGGGAAGAUCCUGGGGACCAAGUAAGCACUAACAACUACUGAAAUACAUAAACAGGGGAAUGUGCUGCUACUACUUCAAUCCUUUGGAAGAAUCAUAGAAUCACAAGGUUGGAAAGGACCUACAACAUCAUCUAGUCCAACUGUCCUCCCAUUGCCCUUGCUGCCACAAGCUACUAAACGGUAUCUUGUAGCUCCUCAUCCAGACAGAAGUAAACAUCUCAAAUCUUUUUGGCAGCUCAGCAACACUGCUUUAGAUUUUCCUUGGUUUCAUCUCAAUUUUAUUCAAAUAAAAUAGAAAAAUUCCUUCCGGGUUAAGUGCUCUUACAUACAGAACUUAAGCUCCAAGCUGUGCGCUUGGAGAGCCAUGACACACUGUUGACUCUUUGUAUUCUUUGCCUCAGAUCUUUAUGGGCUGCAGAAAAUACCCAUUAUCUGCUUGCCAACCCUGUGGGAAAUACACGAAGAGAAUUAUUCCAAACCUUGCUCAUUUCUGCAGAGCAGCUGAGCUUUCCUGAAAGAAUAGAAAUGGGUGAGAACUCAAAGUUCAUCAGAUGAUGAAAGGCAAUAAAUCAGGGCCAAAAGUAAUUCAUGUGAUGAUUUUGCAGACAUAGUCUUUUCAUUACCAGGUAUCACAGAAAGUUCCAUAGAACUUUGUUGCUAAAUUCAGCAUAUUUCUUCCGUGGUUUUUAAACUAAGAUCCACAUCCCCCCCCCCCCC
rnacentral:lncRNA from 1 species